GACGAACGCUGGCGGCGUGCCUAACACAUGCAAGUCGAACGGAGCAGAUCCCUUCGGGGGUUUGCUUAGUGGCGAACGGGUGAGUAACGCGUGAGGAACCUGCCUUUCAGUGGGGGACAACAGUUGGAAACGACUGCUAAUACCGCAUAAUGCUUUUGAGCGGCAUCGCUUGAAAGCCAAAGAUUUAUCGCUGAAAGAUGGUCUCGCGUCUGAUUAGCUAGUUGGUGAGGUAACGGCUCACCAAGGCGACGAUCAGUAGCCGACCUGAGAGGGUGACCGGCCACAUUGGGACUGAGACACGGCCCAA
rnacentral:rRNA from 1 species